UGGACAUACACAUAGUGGCAGAAGGGCACAGACCCUCUCAUGUCUAGACUGCACACCAUGGGGUUUUUUGCAUAAGUGAUUUGCUGUUAGUGCAGAUGGUGUAGAAGAUUAUGGGAUUUCAAUUGUUUCCUCCAGCAUGUAAAGUCUACACAUUAUGGUUACCUCUGCUGCUCAUCCUGCUCCAAAAGACUGCACCCACUGACAGAGCAGGAGGAGAGCAGCUUGACUCACUGCACGUGAAAAUGGUUCUGAAUUUCUCGUUGUACUGGAGCGGUCUGGAAAUGCAGCACUGAAAGCACCAGCACCUGGAUACUGUGCUCCAUGUAACAGUGACAGAUCAGAACAGCUGUGACAGAUCACCUGUGACAUGCUGAAUUCUUUUAAACCAUACAAUGAUUUGGGUUGGAAAGGACCUUUAAGAUUAUCUAGUUCCAAUCCCUUGGCCAUGAGCCAGGGACAGUUUUCUCUGGAUCAGGGUGCUCACAGUCCCAUUCAGCCUGGCUUUCCAGGGAUGGGGCAUCCAUUAACUCCUCUGAGCAAUGUGUUUCAGUGCCUCACCACACUCACAGUCAAGAAUUUAUUUCUGAUACCUAUUUCUGCCCCAGCCUGAAAAUCCCAACUCUCUCAGCCUCAUCCUCACAGGAGAUGUGCUUGAGCCCUCUGAGCAUCUUUGUGGCCACCUCUGGACCCGCUCCAGCAGGUCCACGUCCUUUUUAUGUCAGGAGCCCCAGAGCUGGAUGCAGUACUGCAGGUGGGAUCUUUCCAGAGUGGAGAAGAGAGAGAAUCAGCUGCCUCAACCUGCUGACUGCCCUGCUUUUCUUUCUGGGGAUACAAGAGUACAUUGUCAGGUUCUGCUGAGCUUCUUGCCAACAGCGCUGAACUCCUUCUCCUCCAGGCUGCUCUCAGUCCUGUGUUUGUAUUUGUGUUUGCCCAGCCUGUCAGGAUUUCCCUGGCUCAGGUGCAGGGCAUUGUGCCUGGCUUUGUUUAACUUCCUGAAGAUCCCAUGGGCCGGUCUCUCCAGCCUGUCCAGGCCCCUCAGGAUGGCAUCUCUUCUCUCCCGCAUGUUGACUGCACCUCACAGCUUGGUGUUGUCUGCAGUCUUGCUGAGGGUGACUCAAUCCCACAGCCCACGUUGCUGACAAAGAUGUUGAACAGUGCUGGUCCCAACAGUGCUCCUGGACCCCCAAGGAACACCACUCUUCCCUGGUCUCCUCUUGGACUUGGAGAGUCACCAUCCAGCCGGUUGCUUAUCCACUGAGUGGUCCAUCCAUCAAGCCAGUGUCUCUCCAGUUUAGAGACAAGGCUGUUGUACAGGACAGUGUCAAGCUUUGUACAAGUCCAGAUAGUCAUGGCAGUCACUCUGCCCUUAUUCCACCUCUGUAAGCCCAUCAGAGAAGGCCACUGGAUUUAUCAAACAUAAUUUUCCUUUAGUGAAGCCAUGUUUUCUGUCCCCCAGACAUACCCUUAUUUCCCAUGUGCCUUAGCAUAUUUUCCAGGAGGAUCUGCUCCAUGAUUUUGCUGAGCAGUGAGGUGAAACUGAUGGGCCUGUAGUUCUCCAGCAAUCCCAUGUUUCCCUGUAUAAAAAUGGGGAUUAUGUUCCCCCUUUUCCAGUCAGUGAGAACUUUACUGCACUGCUAUAUAUCUCAGAUAUGAUGGAUAGUAGCUCAGCUUCUUCAUCCAGCA